UUCUUGCAUGAGGGAUAGCAGCGGAAAUCCUUUUAUGAAGCGAAGCGGCAUAAAAGAUUGUAACGAAUAGCCCGACCUUGU
rnacentral:sRNA from 1 species